AGCUCCAGUAGCGUAUAUUAAAGUUGUUGCAGUUAAAAAGCUCGUAGUUGAACUUUGGGUCUGGUUGUCCGGUCCGACUUUAUGUCGCGCACUGGUUUUCAACCGGAUCUUUCCUUCUGGCUAACCUGUACUCCUUGUGGGUGCAGGCGAACCAGGACUUUUACUUUGAAAAAAUUAGAGUGUUCAAAGCAGGCGAAAGCUCGAAUAUAUUAGCAUGGAAUAAUGGAAUAGGACGUUUGGUUCUAUUUUGUUGGUUUCUAGGACCAUCGUAAUGAUUAAUAGGGACGGUCGGGGGCAUCAGUAUUCAAUUGUCAGAGGUGAAAUUCUUGGAUUUAUUGAAGACUAACUACUGCGAAAGCAUUUGCCAAGGACGUUUUCA
rnacentral:rRNA from 1 species